CCUACGGGGGGCUGCAGUAGGGAAUCUUCCGCAAUGGACGAAAGUCUGACGGAGCAACGCCGCGUGAGCGAAGAAGGUCUUCGGAUCGUAAAGCUCUGUUGUUAGGGAAGAACGAGUACGGGAGGAAAUGACCGUACCUUGACGGUACCUAACGAGGAAGCCACGGCUAAGUACGUGCCAGUAGCCGCGGUAAUACGUAGGUGGCAAGCGUUGUCCGGAAUUAUUUGGCGUAAAGCGCGCGCAGUCGGUCUUUUUAGUCUGAUGUGAAAUCUUGCGGCGCAACCGUAAGCGGUCGUUGGAAUCUGGGAGACUUGAGUGCUGAAGAGGAAAGCGUAACUGCACGAGUAGCGGUGGAUAGCGUAGAGGUGGGGAGGAACAACAGUGGCGCAGGCAGCGACCUGGUCUGUAACUGACGCUGAGGAGCGAAAGCGUCGAGAGCAAACAGGAUUAGAUACGCAAGUAGUC
rnacentral:rRNA from 1 species